rnacentral:rRNA from 1 species
GACGAACCGUGCGAACGUUGUUCGGAAUCACUGGGCUUAAAGGGCGCGUAGGCGGGCAUUCAAGUCAGGGGUGAAAUCCUCCAGCUUAACUGGAGAACUGCCUUUGAUACUGGGUGCCUCGAGUGAGGUAGGGGCGUGCGGAACUGAUGGUGGAGCGGUGAAAUGUGUUGAUAUCAUCAGGAACUCCGGUGGCGAAAGCGGCGCGCUGGACCUUAACUGACGCUGAGGCGCGAAAGCGUGGAGAGCAAACAGG